rnacentral:snRNA from 1 species
AUCUUUGCGCUUGUGGCAAUGACGCAGUUAGCGAGGUGAAACCGAGCCGCGUCAAUUGCUGGUUGAAAACUAUUUCCAUUUCAU